UACGUAGGGUGCGAGCGUUAAUCGGAAUUACUGGGCGUAAAGCGUGCGCAGGCGGUUUGAUAAGACAGGCGUGAAAUCCCCGGGCUUAACCUGGGAACUGCGCUUGUGACUGUCUCACUAGAGUACGGCAGAGGGGGGUGGAAUUCCACGUGUAGCAGUGAAAUGCGUAGAGAUGUGGAGGAACACCGAUGGCGAAGGCAGCCCCCUGGGCCGAUACUGACGCUCAUGCACGAAAGCGUGGGGAGCAAACAGGAUUAGAUACCCUGGUAGUCCACGCCCUAAACGAUGUCAACUAGGUGUUGGGUGGGUAAAACCAUUUAGUACCGGAGCUAACGCGUGAAGUUGACCGCCUGGGGAGUACGGCCGCAAGGUUAAA
rnacentral:rRNA from 1 species